rnacentral:rRNA from 1 species
AUUGAACGCUGGCGGAAUGCUUUACACAUGCAAGUCGAACGGCAGCACGGGGGCAACCCUGGUGUCGCGUGGCGAACGGGUGAGUAAUACAUCGGAACGUGCCCGGUCGUGGGGGAUGACGUAGCGAAAGUUACGCUAAUACCGCAUACGAUCUGAGGAUGAACGCGGUGGAUCUUCAGUCCUCGAGGGAUUGGAGCGCCCGAUGUCAGAUUAGGUAGUUGGUAGGGUAAGGGCCUACCAAGCCGACGAUCUGUAGCUGGUCUGAGAGGACGACCAGCCACACUGGAACUGAGACACGGCCCAGACUCCUACGGGAGGCAGCAGUAGGGAAUUUUGGGCAAUGGGCGCAAGCCUGAUCCAGCAAUGCCGCGUGCAGGACGAAGGCCUUCGGGUUGUAAACUGCUGUUGUAUGGAACGAAAAGGCUCUGGCUAAUACCUGGGGCUCAUGACGGUACCGAAAGAAUAAGCACCGGCUAACUACGUG